rnacentral:misc_RNA from 1 species
UGAACCAGCGUCGUGAGCGGACGUGUGUAGUGGUGCGCUGGUAGUGGGGAGCGUUGUCGAUCGAAGAAAUAGAGCUAAUUGAAGAAUCGAAGAAGACUUGUGUUGCGGAGGGAAAUUCGUCGGGAAACGUGCAGUACUCGGAUUUUGAGUAAAAGAACACAACCUAUAGAUUCCGAGAUAUCUAUAUUACUGUGGAAUUUAGCGCAGUAAAGAUCCGCCAUAUUGACUGCCGCAUACCGAACACGUGGCAAGAAUAAAAUUUUUUCCUGGUGACUGACUUUUAUGCCUAUAUAAGACCUGGGGGGGAGCUGUCCCCCCCCCCUCGUAAUAGUAAAAAAACUAAUCCUUUCUCCUUUUCACAUCCUAACCAUAAGCUUAUUCAAAAUGACGAAGAUUGCCUCAAUCGGAUAGCUGCCUUUCUCCCUCCCUAAAUGAUUAUUGAUACUAAUAAUGAUUAUGUUUUGCAGCCCUCCCCAUCUCAGCCGUUGUCGUCUCGUCCGUCAUCGUCGUUGUCGUCCCGGGGAUUCCCUGCCUGUAAUAGUGGAAUCCGAUCCACCUCGUAGUGCAACUCGUGGCAAUUUCAAAGCAACCUCCACAGGAGUAAUUUGGUCGGAUCUCCUGCAUGUGAUUGUGGUUCCCCGGUGCAAGACAUAGAUUAUAUUGUGGAGUUGUCCGUUAUACGCCUCUCACCGUCCAAAGCUAAUAACAUCUUUGAGGAGGAACCUGGAGGAGACUAACAUCCCGUGUUGUGUAUUUUCCGUCUCCUUAUAUAAUUAUCCGAUUAUGACUUUCCUUCGUGCCUGUCAUAUAGACAUAUAAAAUAAUUUUAUUUGUUAUGUGAUAUUGUUAUUUACAUCGUGACAAUGAACAGUGCCAAGAUUUAUGCAAGGACAUUUUAAAAAAAUCAAGAAGAACAGGAUUUUGAGUCUGCUCCCUGGCAGUGUGGACUAAUCGAUCCAGUGCCAAAAAAUUAAAGAAGAAGAAGAAGAAGUGUAUUAACACUGUUAACACAAGUAUUCAAGGUUGGGCGUUGUAUCUUAUGGUGGUGAUCGUUUACCUGGGGCAAUAUUAUUGCUGCGAGUUCGAUUUGAGGCCAUUGGUGAUAAUUUAGCUUCGCUUGUUCCUCCUUUGUUCCACGAUUGCUGUGUACUUGAACAAUAUACGGUUCUCGUCUCGGUAUCUUCUGGGGCCUUUAUUUGCAAACCUGAUAUCGAUCGCCAAGCAUUCCGCUCCCGGCUUGUCAUUUUUUGACGGCGUAGUAACUAUUUCAUAAUCCCACCGCCAUCUUACAUUAUCGUUUAAUUUGAUCUUUCUGAGAAGAUAUUAUAAGAGCAUCAGAGGAUAGUAAUAAGAGCGUUUCAAUUUGAUCUGAAAGAAAAAUAAUAAGAAAAAUAUAAAGAUUUUUCAACCGCUGGUCAAAAAUUACGCCAACACAAAGUCGCGUUACUAUCAUGUUGAAAUCGCAAACAUUCUGUUUCCCGAAAGAUGUAAAGGAGAGAAAUUCAACAACUAAUAAAGAAGAUGAAAUGCAGGAAUAUCAGAAGAGAAUCUUGCAAUACGUUCCAGCAGAGAAAAUAAUUCCAAUGGAUCUUAAAAAUUCGCUGCUUUUCCAUUUUUUAAAGCCAGAAUUUAUCUCACAAAUUCAUAUGGUUCUAGUAUAUGAUGACAAUGAGGCUAUAAUUGUGACAAAGGACAAGAAUGUCUAUAGCUUAAGUUAUUCAGAUCCUGAUGACUUACAUACUGCAAUCUACCCCAAAAAAAUAAAAGAAUUAUGUGGGAAAAACAUAAAAACCUUAGCUCACAGCAAUUUUUUCAUCCUGGCGCUUACAGAAGAGGGAGAGGUUUAUUACUGGGAAUUUGAAAGCUGGAACUUAUGGGAUACUUAUGAUAGUUCUGGUACUUACGUACCUGACGAGCAUAUAAAAAUAUCCACGCCUACUCUAGUCCCUAAUUUAAGCGAGAAACGUAUUGUGGACAUCGCAUGUGGCAGAGGUCAUUCUCUCGCUCUGACUAGCGAUGGAAAGGUAUAUGCUUGGGGAGAAAAUAAUUAUGGGCAAAUUAAUGAUGAAAGCGGAUUUAGUUUUAUUAGUACGCCAUUUCAGGUGAAACAUGAAUUGGAGAAUAAGAAUGUUGUCUAUAUCGCGUGUGAUUUAUUAUGCAACAUAGUUAUAACUGAUAAAAACGAAAUAUAUAGUUGGGGCGAAAAUGAUAGAAACAAGAUGCGAAACAAUGCGUCACAUUGUUGCCCACUGCGAAUUAUCAUCUGCAGUACAAUCUGGGAUAAAAUAGUUAAGGUGACCUGUGGAUAUGAUCAUACAUUGGUACUUACUAAUAAAGGAGAUAUCUAUGCCUGGGGCAGUAACCAUUUCGGACAAAUCGGCCAAUAUGAUUAUUAUUUUAUUAAAUUUCCUGAAAUUUCGAAGGUGAAUGUGCCCGAGAUGGGAAAAGUUUUAGAUAUCGCUGCCUUGCGUUUUUCGAGCGUUGCUGUCGGGUAUGAUGGAACUAUCUAUGUAUGGGGUGAAUUAGUUUAUAAGUAUAAUGAUAGUAAUUAUAAUGAUAGUUAUUUAGUUUAUAAUUAUAAUGGUAGUAAGCGUCAUUCUAAAACCCCACUUCCCACAAAGUUUUCGAGGAUUCAUGACUUCUUGCAUGCGUACAAUGGCUGGAAAAUGAUAUACAAGCCAUUGACUCUGUUUACGAAUGAUUACAAGUAUGUUGAAGAAGUAUUGAAUAUAUUGGAAUCGAUAGGAGCAGCAUUUGAUGAUCCGUUAACAAGCGAUUUUAUCAUACAAGUUGAAGGACAAUCUAUUUAUGUUCAUAAGUUUAUACUUAGGAUUCGUUGCGAAUAUUUCAAAAAGAUGUUUCAACAUGAUUGGUCUGAAAAUAUUCGAAGUAAAUCUGCUUCAUUAUUAAUGUUCACUGUACGGGAUAAAUUUUCUUACAUCGUUUAUAAAGCCUUCUUAAAAUAUUUAUAUACCGGCACAAUCGAUUUACCUUCGGAGAAUGCAUUAGAACUUAUGGAGUUGGCCGACAUGUAUUGUGAACCCAAUCUUAAAAAAUAUUGUAUCCAAGUGAUAAAACAAGACAUCACUUUAUCAAAUGUAGCAUUCUUCUAUGAUGAAGCGGUUGUAUACAAUGCUAAGGAACUCGAGGAGUUUUGCUUCCAGUUUAUUCUACGUCAUAUGACAGCUAACACAUUAUUGGAAGAUAUUAAGUUAGACAUGAAUAUGCAGGCUAAGUUUAUGCAAAUAGCAGCGACACAAAGUCGCGAUACUAUCGUGUCGAUAUCGUCGAAAAAAUCCUGUUCUCCGGAAGCUGUAGAGAAGAGAAAUUCAGAAACAACAACUAAUAUAAAAAAUAAAAUGCAAAAAUAUGAGAAAAGAAUCUUGCAAAGCAUUCUAGCAGAGAGGAUUUUAAUGGAUCUUAAAAAUUGGCCAUUCUUCUGGCUGUUAAAGCUAGAAUUUAUCCUACAAAUUCACAUGAUUAUGAUAUUUCAGCAGAAUGGCAAGGCUAUAAUUGUGACAAAGGAUAAGAAUGUCUACAGUUUUGAUUAUUCUUCAGAGUUUGAUGACACACAUACUACCUAUCUUAAAAAAAUUAACGAAUUGUGUGGAAAAAACAUAAAAACCUUUGCUCAUAACCAUUUUUUAAUUCUGGCUCUUACAGAAGAGGGAGAGGUUUAUUCCUGCAACUUCAUAGAAAACAAAAGGGAUGUAAGUAUACCUGAAGAAUCCACGUUUACUCAAGUUGCCAGCUUAAGAGAAAAAUAUAUCCUGGACAUCGCAUGCGGAUAUCGUCAUUCUCUCGCUCUGACUAGUGAUGGAAAAGUAUAUGCUUGGGGAGAAAAUAAUUGGCAAAAUAAAGGGCAAAUUAAUGAUGAAAAAAUAGUUACUUUUAUUAGUACGCCAUGUCAGGUGAAACAUGAAUUGGAGAAUAAGAAUGUUGUCUAUAUCGCGUGUGGUCCAUCAUUCAACAUAGUUAUAACUGAUAAAAACGAAAUAUAUGGUUGGGGCAAUAACGAUAGCUGCCAGAUUUCAACCGUUCAAUCGGAUAAAUAUUACAGAUGUCCACGCAAAAUUAUCACAAUCUCAAAUAAAAUAGUUAAGCUGGCCUGCGGAUCUGAUCAUACGUUGGCACUCACAAAUGAAGGAGAGAUCUAUGCCUGGGGCGAUAACUUUUACGGACAAAUCGGCGUUAAAAAAUUGAGACAUUCUGGUCCGAUUAUGGUGAACGUGCCCGAGAUGGGAAAGGUUUUGGAUAUCGCUGCUUUUCGUAAUUUGAGUGUUGCCGUCGGUCAUAAUAGGAUUGUCUAUAUAUGGGGAAAAUUCGCUCCUGAUGUCAAUCGAAUUAACAGCCCGUUUCCCACGAAGUUUUCGACAAUUCACGACAUGUUUGCGUACAGUAACUUGGACACAGUCAUGUAUAAGCCAUUGACUGUGUUUACGAAUAUUGAAGAAAUAUUGAAUAUAUUGGAAUCUGUAGAAGCAGCAUUUGAUGAUCCGUUGUCGAAUGAUUUUACUAUACAAGUCGGACCACCUAUUUACGUUCACAAGGCUAUUCUUAAGAUUCGUUGCGAUUAUUUCAAAAAGAUGUUUCAACAUGAUCGGGCUGAAAAUAUUCAAAGAUCUUUUGGAAUUGGCCAACAACUAUUGUGAAGCCAAUCUUAUAAAAGAUUGCAGUCAAAUAAUAAAAAAGACCAUCACUGUGUCAAAUGUAAUUUUCUCGUACAAUAAAGCGAUCGAAUACAAUGCUAAGGAACUUGAAGAGUUUUGUUUCCAAUUUGCUUUACUUCACAUGACAGAUGUAGUAUUAUCGGAAGAUUAUAUUAAGUUAGAUAUAAAUAUAAAGGAUAAUUUUAUACGUAAAGCAGCUAAAGAAAAUGCUUUCAGAACGUAAUGUAGAUGUUUUAAAGAGUGUAAUUCUUUUGACAAAAGUUUUGAGCCAAAUCA